ensembl:lncRNA
CUAUGUAUAUCUAUGGUCGGCACGUCUGGUAGCAUCUCUGGCUGCUGUUGACCUUGUUUUUGGAGUAAAACACGGUGGAAGCUGAAUUAGUGAGGAUGACUCCUGCUCCUGUCAUCUCUAAACUCCUCACACAUCUUUACCUGCACAUGAGGAAAAUCACUCCUGUAGAAUGCAGUGGUUCAUCAGAACCUCUGGGGAUGUCCUGUGGAUUCUGUGGAUCCUGUGGGUUGCAGGGUGGGUCCUACCUAGACCAGGCUGAUCCUGGACCAUCCCACAGAUGCUCAAUCAGAUCUGGAUGUGGGGAGUGUGGAACCCAGAUGUUCAGAGGGAGAUGAUGCCACAUCUGGUCCAGCUGAUGGAAGGUCUUGAAGUUCUCUGACUGGCCUCGACUGAAGAUGGUCGUCUCACUGGAUUUAAGAUGCACAAUGAGGGACGUCUGCAGCGACUGAGAAAGAGUCUCACCACAUCCUGACAUGAGGAAAAAGACUUAAUUGAAGACUGCAAUGAGAAAAACUAUCAGACAGCAGACGGCUGCAUUCAAGUCUGUCGCUGCUGAAUUCAUGGAUGAAUCAUCUGGCACUAGAGAAGAAGACCAUCAAACAUCCACGUCAGCUGAUGGAGGUCCAAGAGUCUCACCGAACAACCAACCUACAGAGUGAAGACCUUGAAUCUGAUUGGACGGCCUCCUAUUCAGCCACGUGUGAACAAAUGCCUCUAAGUUGAUUUGUUUUCUAAAAUAAAUCUAGUUUGAGUCCUAA